AAUUGCCUGCUCUUUCCUUGCUAUUAUAGAACAGAGUAGCGGGAGAGACUUAUAGUGCCAAUUAUUUUUCAAAACCUGCAUAUCUGUUGUGAUCUAAUAUAUGUUCCAUAGAAUGGUGUAGACAACGCCUAUAAUAGGAGAGGUUGCACCAAAGCUAACACUUGCACGAUGGAUGCCUCCCGAUUGAUCCGCCUCAUUGCAAAAAAGCCAAGAGAACACAUGAGCACCUGCGUAGCGACACCCGCCAAUAUUGUGUCGCGCCAUCCCACUGUCCGGAGCUGCCGCUCUGCCGAAUGAGCAGACCAUCACCUACCAUCCACAU